GUGUAUUUCUUUUAUUUUGUAUCUAUUUUAAAACUCAGAAAUAGAGAAAGUUCAAACACAACAGACCAACAAUACCCAAACUUUAGAAAUAACAAGGUGGCCGGAGAACCCGUUGAAGCCGGAGCAAUACCAAACUUCCUCACCGUCGAAAAAAAAAAUUUGGCUACGCAAAACCAAGUCUCAAAACAAGCUUCCACCAGUGGCCGGAAAAUCCAUAUGGCACCCAUUACUCAGUCAAUAAACCGACGAGUCAAACCUAUCGCCGGAAUUGUGCUCCGUAUAGUGUCUGUUCUGGGCAUUUAUUUUGAUCGAAUUGCUUCUCCGGC
rnacentral:lncRNA from 1 species